rnacentral:rRNA from 1 species
CCUACGGGAGGCAGCAGUGAGGAAUAUUGGUCAAUGGGCGGGAGCCUGAACCAGCCAAGCCGCGUGAGGGACGACGGUACAGCGUAUCGUAAACCUCUUUUGUCAGGGAACAAAGGCGGGGACUAGUCCCCGGAUGAGUGUACCUGAAGAAAAAGCAUCGGCUAACUCCGUGCCAGCAGCCGCGGUAAUACGGAGGAUGCGAGCGUUAUCCGGAUUUAUUGGGUUUAAAGGGUGCGCAGGCGGCCUGUUAAGUCAGCGGUAAAAGUGCGGGGCUCAACCCCGUCGAGCCGUUGAAACUGGCAGGCUGGAGUUGGAGAGAAGUACGCGGAAUGCGUGGUGUAGCGGUGAAAUGCUUAGAUAUCGCGCAGAACCCCGAUUGCGAAGGCAGCGUACCGGCUCCAUACUGACGCUGAGGCACGAAAGCGUGGGUAUCGAACAGGAUUAGAUACCCUUGUAGUC